rnacentral:tRNA from 1 species
GGGCCUAUAGCUCAGUUGGUUAGAGCGCACGCCUGAUAAGCGUGAGGUCAGUGGUUCGAGUCCACUUAGGCCCACCA